ACGCCGCGUGAGGGUGAAGGCCUCUGGGCUGUAAACCUCUUUUCUCAAGGGAGAAGAUCUGACGGUACUUGAGGAAUAAGCCACGGCUAAUUCCGUGCCAGCAGCCGCGGUAAUACGGGAGUGGCAAGCGUUAUCCGGAAUUAUUGGGCGUAAAGCGUCCGCAGGCGGCCCUUCAAGUCUGCUGUUAAAAAGUGGAGCUUAACUCCAUCGUGGCAGUGGAAACUGUUGGGCUAGAGUGUGGUAGGGGCAGAGGGAAUUCCCGGUGUAGCGGUGAAAUGCGUAGAUAUCGGGAAGAACACCAGUGGCGAAGGCGCUCUGCUGGGCCAUAACUGACGCUCAUG
rnacentral:rRNA from 1 species